UAUAAACCAGACAUUUGCAGUGAAGACAGAGCAUCACACAGGCAGGGGGAGCAAGAUGGAGUCACAGACCCAGGUCCUCAUGUUCCUGCUCCUCUGGAUGUCUGGUGCCUGUGGAGAUAUUGUGUUGACCCAGUCUCCAUCUUCCCUGGCUGCAUCAGUAGGAGAAAAGAUCACCAUCAGCUGCAGGUCCAGUCAGAGUCUCUUUUACGAUGCAAACAAUAAGCACCUCUUGGCCUGGUACCAGCAGAAACCAGGGCAAUCUCCUAAACUGCUGAUCUACUAUGCAUCCACUCAGUUCACUGGGGUCCCUGAUCGCUUCAUAGGCAGUGGAUCUGGGACAGAUUUCACUCUCACCAUCAACAGUGUCCAGGCAGAUGAUCUGGCAGAUUAUUACUGUCAGCAGGAUUUCAUCCCUAUUCCCACAGUGCUUCAGCCUCCAACAAAAACGUCCUCUGAGAGUCUCACCAGCUGCUUGCACCACACACAGCCCUUCACCUUACACUUCUCAUUUUUGCAGGAAGCACUGAUGAAAGCAUAUGUAGAGUCAAGCAAAUUACAAUGGGUUCAGUUUCUCUUAUGUCUUUUGCUAUGA